ACACAGAGACUCACCAUGGAGUCUGCGCUCAGCUGGGUUUUCCUAGUUGCUCUGUUACAAGGUGUCCAGUGUGAGGUGCAGCUGGUGGAGUCUGGGGGAGGCUUGGUCCAGCCUGGGGGGGUCCAUGAGACUCUCCUGUGCAGCCUCCGGGUUCACCUUCAGUGACUACUACAUGAACUGGGUCCGCCAGGCUCCAGGGAAGGGGCUGGAGUGGGUCUCAUACAUUGAUUAUGACGGUAGUAGCACAAGCUACGCAGACGCCGUGAAAGGCCGGUUCACCAUCUCCAGCGACAACAGCAAGAACACGCUGUAUCUGCAAAUGAACAGUCUGAGAGCCGAGGACACGGCCGUGUACUACUCUGCCAGAGACACAGUGAGGGGACAUCAGUCUGAGCCCAGACACAAACCUCCUGCGUGGGCGCGCGGGGCCGCCAGGGGGCUCAUCCCCAGUGUCUGA